AUGAAAAUGAAAACUUACUUUUUUUUUUUUUCGGUGCAACAAUUCUUUAUUUAAUAUUUAGAAUCAGUCAUUUGACGAGUAAUCUAAACAUUCUAAUUAGUAAUCUUUACAGGACUACAAAAUGCAAAACACAGAGAGGUCAGAGCUCACCAAACUCUCUAAAGUCUAAAACAAACACCACAACAGAAUAAAGGCAAAAGUAAGUUUUCAU
rnacentral:misc_RNA from 1 species